GAUGUCAUGAUGUCACGAUGUCACGAUGUCCUGAUGUCACGACGUCAUGAUGUCAUGACGUCAUGACAUCAUGACAUCAUGACGUC
rnacentral:pre_miRNA from 14 species